AUUGAACGCUGGCGGCAUGCCUUACACAUGCAAGUCGAGCGGCAGCGCGGGGGCAACCCUGGCGGCGAGCGGCGGACGGGUGAGUAAUACAUCGGAACGUGUCCUGUCGUGGGGGAUAACCAGUCGAAAGACUGGCUAAUACCGCAUUAGAUCGAAAGAUGAAAGCGGGGACCGCAAGGCCUCGCGCGAUUGGAGCGGCCGAUGUCGGAUUAGCUAGUUGGUGGGGAAAGGCCCACCAAGGCGACGAUCCGUAGCUGGUCUGAGAGGAUGAUCAGCCACACUGGAACUGAGACACGGGUCCAGACUCCUACGGGAGGCAGCAGUGGGGAAUAUUGGACAAUGGGGGCAACCCUGAUCCAGCAAUGCCGCGUGAGUGAUGAAGGCCUU
rnacentral:rRNA from 1 species